rnacentral:sRNA from 1 species
UUUUAAGAAUGAGGCAUUUACAACCAUAUACAUGAAGUGCUUAUUUGUUAUAUACUGUAUAGUAGUUUUUGGAUUUCCCCACCGAAUUUAUUGUACGAAAGGUUUUCAUUAGCCAAUAUCCCAUUUUUAAUCGAUUAUAAAAGAUAGAAGUCAUUGGUAGUGGAAUUCAUUUUUCUGCUAGAUAGGUAUGAUUUAUUAAAAAAACACAUUUGUCCGCUACUAGUUUAGUUUUGACAUAAUAGCAUUGUUUUAGAUUGGUUGUUGGUGUUAUAAGGCCUUUUAUAGUCAGUGUUUCGCCUUGCGGUGUAGUUUGACCACGUAACUAUAUUCACAAAUGCCCCGACAUUAGUGAGGGGGAAAAACGGCACAAAAUGUUUUGAUGUUUCCACCAGGAUUCAAACUCAGACGUUAUAUGUUAUGGACGCACCAGAGUAGCCAUAAUCAUAGUUUUCGGAUUUUUUUUUUUAUUAUUUUUUACUCAAAAAACAAAACAAAAACAAUUUUUUUUUUUGAUAGAUUUAAGACGUUUUCGAUGUAGGUAUUUUACGUCGGAAAUGUAUGUUAAAUACGUCAGUGUUCCCGAGAGUCCAUCUCAGAUCUUUGGGCUGUCCAAAUAUCCUCAAUGUUUGUUUUCCAUAUUUCCUUUUCAAAAACAUUUUGUCUAUGCAAAUCUGGCAUCACCAAAAAGUACUCGUAUUUACAGUGACAGCCGGUCGGUCGUUUUGUUCUCGUGUUUCUUUUGUUUCUGGCUGAUGCGCAAUGCAACAUUGUUUAUGUAUGUGUUUUAUAUCUUUCUUCUUUCGACUUUGUUGCUACUUCUGCUGAACUUUAUGGAUACCUUUUCUUGAAAAUUCAUAAAAAAAGUCAAAAGUUUUCAGUAUGACGCCAAACCAACCAAACAACAGCACAAAACAAACUUUCGAAUAAAAAUCUCAAACGAAAAAAACUUCAUAAUCGUUUUUGCCGGUUGAUUAUAAUUAAGAUUGUACAGUGCCAUGAAACAAAAACGAGAAGAAUUUUAUGAGUGGACAACACACUUACAAACUAAUGUACUCAAAUUUUAAAACGUUCCAUACAAACGUACUGCACCCUACUAUUUACCACUAUAUAAUAUAGGUAAGAAGGGCUUUGAAAGGAGACAAGAGGGUAAAAAAAAAAACAACAAAAACAAAGCAUUUGCGUCGACGACGACAAUAUACAGAGGGCUUACAGUGGAAACAUAUGGUAUACAUAGGAGAAGAAAAAACUCCAUUGUGUGCAUCAACACACAAACGCACGCGUUCGUCCACAGGAAUAUAUGAAAUUUCGUAUGAGCAACUGCCGACGAAAAACCCACCACCACUCAAUUGAAAUGAGUAUGAAAAUAUUAAGCGAGACGAUGUCUCGUUUGCUUUCUAGCUGUGUCUUCUUAUUGAUGAUUAUGAGGGGAUGGUGAUGAUAAUAAUGAUCAUCACCAACAUCAUCAUCAUCGUCGUCAACAUGAUGACGUCAAUAGUGAUGAUGACGUUUUAUAAUAUUUUUGUGUGGCAAAAAUGCCACAAACCCUCUCACACGAUGAAUACCUAGAAAAACUGUAUUAUUUUUCCGCACAUACAAACAUACACCUCACUCAUUCGUGCCGAACAAUCCAAUUGUAGGGGAAGGGGAAGUUGGCAGCUCUGCGCGCAGAGAGCUCAUGACGGCAGCCCAGCAACGAAAAAAUAACAACAACAACAACACCACCACACGACAAAAGAGCCCAAAACUAGCUAAAGCAAAUAUAACAAAACCAACAAAAGCGUCGUCGUGGUAAAGCAUAUAAGAAAAACAUACUCUGCCGCCAACAACCAUGUCGCCGUCGUCAAUAGAUGGUACACUAUAUGGAUGGUAAAGGCAAACGUAUUAGUGGCCAAGGGCUAGUAGUAUAGCAGCAAGCAGCAGUAGUAGGCAGGCAAGCAAUAAACAUACGAAACAAAAGCAAAUAGUCAAAGUGAACUUAAAUAUAGAAUUAUAUAAAUGAAUUAAAAAUUGGCUCAAAAUGAUAUGAAAAUCACGAGAUAACAAAAAACACAGCCAAAAGUCAGAAAAAGUGCGCGCGCGAAUUGAACCAGGCUGUGUAACUAAAAGCAAAUUCCAACAAUUACUUUCUAAACCGCGAGAAACAUAAAUCUAAAUUUAAAAUAAAUAAUUAGCAACCAUCACCAAUGCCAAGAGGAAAGCAUUUU